rnacentral:rRNA from 1 species
GAUUUCUGGUUUGACGUUCAUGGCCCGGUUCGGUUUACGGACUGCGUUGCCUUCGUGCGUCUUCCAUCCUUCGGGAAAACACCUCUGCCCUUUACUGGGUUGGAAGUGCUAUCCCGAUCUUUUACUUUGAAAAAAUUAGAGUGUUUAAAGCAGGCUUGCGCUAUGAAUACAUUAGCAUGGAAUAAUAAUUUAGGACUUUGGUCUUAUUUUGUUGGUUUCUAGGACUAAAGUAAUGAUUGAUAGGGACAGUUGGGGGUGCUAGUAUUCAGCGGCCAGAGGUGAAAUUCUUGGAUUCGCUGAAGACUAACUUAUGCGAAAGCAUU